GAACGCUUGCUGCAUGCUUUAUACAUGCAAGUCGAACGAAGGCCCUAGCUUGCUAGGUGUCCUUAGUGGCGCACGGGUGAGUAACACGUGGGAACAUACCUUAUAGUACGGAAUAACUGCGGGAAACUGUAGCUAAUACCGUAUAUUCCAGUAAUGGGAAAGAUUUAUCGCUAUAAGAUUGGCCCGCGCAAGAUUAGCUUGUUGGUGAGGUAAAAGCUCACCAAGGCUUCGAUCUUUAGCUGGUUUGAGAGGAUGAUCAGCCACACUGGGACUGAGACACGGCCCAGACUCCUACGGGAGGCAGCAGUAGGGAAUAUUGGACAAUGGGGGCAACCCUGAUCCAGCAAUGCAGCGUGAGUGACGAAGGCCUUAGGGUUGUAAAACUCUUUCAUCGGUGAGGAUAAUGACAGUAGCCGAAGAAGAAGGACCGG
rnacentral:rRNA from 1 species